rnacentral:tRNA from 1 species
GGGGAUAUGGCGAAAUUGGUAGACGCUACGGACUUAAAAUCCGUCGACUUUUAAAAUCGUGAGGGUUCAAGUCCCUCUAUCC